CCUACGGGAGGCAGCAGUGGGGAAUAUUGGACAAUGGGGGGAACCCUGAUCCAGCCAUGCCGCGUGUGUGAAGAAGGCCCUCGGGUUGUAAAGCACUUUCAGUGAGGAAGAACGCCUGGUGGUUAAUACCCAUCAGGAAAGACAUCACUCACAGAAGAAGCACCGGCUAACUCCGUGCCAGCAGCCGCGGUAAUACGGAGGGUGCGAGCGUUAAUCGGAAUUACUGGGCGUAAAGCGCGCGUAGGUGGCUUGAUAAGCCGGUUGUGAAAGCCCCGGGCUCAACCUGGGAACGGCAUCCGGAACUGUCAAGCUAGAGUGCAGGAGAGGAAGGUAGAAUUCCCGGUGUAGCGGUGAAAUGCGUGAGAUCGGGAGGAAUACCAGUGGCGAAGGCGGCCUUCUGGACUGACACUGACACUGAGGUGCGAAAGCGUGGGUAGCAAACAGGAUUAGAUACCCUUGUAGUC
rnacentral:rRNA from 1 species